rfam:Triticum aestivum genome assembly, contig: Triticum_aestivum_CS42_TGACv1_scaffold_570840_7AS
UUAAUACUCCCUCCGUCCCAAAAUUCUUGUCUUAGAUUUCUCUAGAUACGGAUGCAUCUAAUACUAAAACGUGACUUGAUACAUUCGUAUUUAGACAAAAAUCCAAGACAAGAAUUUUGGGAGGGAGGUUGUAUUCU